UCAAAGCUUCAAACUGGGAUUAGAUACCCCACUAUUCUUGACUGUAAAUAGAAUUAAUUUUUACCAGAGUACUACGAAUGUUUAAAAAAAUUUAAAACUCAAAGGGCUUGGCGGUGUUUUAGACCUAUUAGGGGAACCUGUCUCAUAAUCGACAAUCCACGUUAUACCUAACCCUAUUUUGUACUCAGUUUGUAUACCGUCGUCGUCAGGUAACUUUUAAAAAAUUAGAAGUUAGCACUACAAAUUUAUGUAAAUUAAGACGUCAGAUCAAGGUGCAACCAAUAAAAGGGAGAGGAUGGGUUACAAUUAUUUUAAUUAUAAUUACGGAUAAGUUAAGUGAAAUAUAAUUUGAAGGAGGACUUAAAAGUAAAAUGAAAUAUAAAAAUAUUUUGAAUAAGGCUCUGAAACGUGCACACACCGCCCGUCACCCUCUGCAGUCAAGAAAAAA
rnacentral:rRNA from 1 species